GACGAACGCUGGCGGCGUGCUUAACACAUGCAAGUCGAACGGAAAGGCCCUGCUUUUGUGGGGUGCUCGAGUGGCGAACGGGUGAGUAACACGUGAGUAACCUGCCCUUGACUUUGGGAUAACUUCAGGAAACUGGGGCUCAUACCGGAUAGGAUCUCCUGCUGCAUGGUGGGGGUUGGAAAGUUUCGGCGGUUGGGGAUGGACUCGCGGCUUAUCAGCUUGUUGGUGGGGUAGUGGCUUACCAAGGCUUUGACGGCUAGCCGGCAUGAGAGGGUGACCGGCCACAUUGGGACUGAGAUACGGCCCAGACUGCUACGGGAGGCAGCAGGGGGGAAUAUUGCACAAUGGGCGGAAGCCUGAUGCAGCAACGCCGCGUGCGGGAUGACGGCCUUCGGGUUGUAAACCGCUUUCGCCUGUGACGAAGCGUGAGUGACGGUAAUGGGUAAAGAAGCACCGGCUAACUACGUG
rnacentral:rRNA from 1 species